rnacentral:rRNA from 1 species
UGAGGAAUAUUGGGCAAUGCCCGCAAGGGUGACCCAGCAACGCCGCGUGGAGGAUGAAUGUCGUAAGAUUGUAAACUCCUGUUAGAGGGGAAGAAUAGUACCGGUUGGACCGGUAUAUGACUGUACCCUCAGAGAAAGCCCCGGCUAACUACGUGCCAGCAGCCGCGGUAAUACGUAGGGGGCAAGCGUUGUCCGGAUUUACUGGGUGUAAAGGGCGCGCAGGCGGGAUAAAAAGUCAGUGGUGAAAUCCUACAGCUUAACUGUAGAACUGCCUUCGAUACUUUUAUUCUUGAGUUCGGGAGAGAGAGACGGAAUUCCAGGUGUAGUGGUGAAAUACGUAGAUAUCUGGAAGAACACCAGUUGCGAAGGCGGUCUCUUGGUCCGACACUGACGCUGAGGCGCGAAAGCGUGGGG